rnacentral:rRNA from 1 species
CCAGACUCCUACGGGAGGCAGCAGUGGGGAAUAUUGCACAAUGAGGGAAACCCUGAUGCAGCGACGCCGCGUGGGUGAAGGAGUAUUUCGGUAUGUAAAGCCCUAUCGGCAGGGAAGAAGCAAGACGGUACCUGACUAAGAAGCCCCGGCUAACUACGUGCCAGCAGCCGCGGUAAUACGUAGGGGGCGAGCGUUAUCCGGAUUCACUGGGUGUAAAGGGAGCGUAGACGGCCAAGCAAGCCAGGGGUGAAAGCCCGGGGGCCAACCCCGGGACUGCCCUUGGAACUGCUUGGCUGGAGUGCGGGAGGGGCAGGCGGAAUUCCUGGUGUAGCGGUGAAAUGCGUAGAUAUCAGGAGGAACACCGGCGGCGAAGGCGGCCUGCUGGACCGCGACUGACGUUGAGGCCCGAAAGCGUGGGGAGCAAACAGGAUUAGAUACCCCUGUAGU